CCGCCGCCACCUGCCUGCCUUCUCUUUCCUCGGGAUCUCACCCGAUCCAAUCCACCAACCAGCGCUCCCCCAUGGCCCUCCUCGAUCCUCAUCACUCGCAGCCUCCAACACCCAUCGACCAAUCCAGCCGAGGGCCUCGUCCCCGAGCCGACCUCCAUGGAAGAGGUGCAGCGCUCCGCCCCUCUCUGCCUUGCGUCGGAGCACCUGCCGCAUCGAGCGCCCGCAGCUCCAUUCCCAUGUACGCCUCCGUUCAGCUGCUGCCGACGAGCAGAUGAGUCGCCGCCCGUCUCCUUUUCUCCCCCUGUUUUCCUCUCUUUCCUCCUCUAACCUCCCCCCCUCGUUUGAUUUCUUCUCUGCCAGGAAAUGAAAGGGGCUCGCCCUUGAUGUCGUGGCCGCCGGCGACCGAAGCCGCCGUGUGUCCUCUCCUUCCCGUCCCUGCCGUCCCCGUCGGGGUUGACCUCCAGCGCCGCCAAGCCAAGUCCCUCGUCUUGCCUCCCUUCAUUCCCAGCUACCCCAGCGACCCUGCGUCCCUGACAUAGCCCGCGCCAAGUCCUCGCAAGCCGCCGCCCGGAGCAGGCCGCCUCCUCACCUCGUCCGCAUCGCCGGGAUCGCGUCAAGUUCACCACCGUCGCCCAAGUCCCUCGCCUCGCCGCCCCUUCGCCCUGCUCGCUGCAACCUUGCGCGUCUGCAACUAUGCGGGGCAUCGCUCCCGAGCGCAUUGGCCACGCCCUUCCCCAGCGGCCUCGCUCAGCCUUUGCCUCGAUUCGGCCGAGCGCCGCUGCCUCCCCUGCCGACUUGAACCCCGCCGGAUCCGGUGACCCUUGCCGCCGCCGUCGCCAAGAACCUCGCCGGAGAACCAUGUCCCGCUUCUGGAACCGCUCAUCUCCGUCGCCUGCCGCCGCUCUGAACCUGCGCCUCCGCAGUCUCUACAUCCCGUGUGCGUGCGAGCCAAAGCCUGUGGCCGCGCGAGGGCCGCAUCGCAUUGACUGAGGCCCAGCAACGUUCUUCAUUCCCCAGGCCGACCCUUCUUCUUCAAUCGGGCCAAGGCCCAUGUUGAGGCAAACCCCCCAGUUAGUUUUUUUCCCUUCCUUUGGCCCAGCUAGUUUCGGCCCAUGUAUGUUUUUUUUCACUGCCUGGUUUUUUGCUAAUUAAUCAGAGACUGUACGUUUUGCAGAAAACCCCUCCAUGUUCAUGCAUUUAAUAACUUCUAAACCGUGCAUCGGAUUAAAAUACUUUACAUAUGAAAAAUGCUUAGAUUUUCAUCUAGUUCAAUAAUAUGCCACUUUCUUCUAUGUUAAAUAUGCGGAAAAUGCCGUUUGUGUAAUUUUUUCUCAUAUGCCAUGUUAAAAUGCUUUAUUUCAUAACUAAAUAACCGUAGCUCCGAACUUAACAAACUUUAUAUGUAAAUGGGGUGGAAAAAUGCCUAGUUUAACAUGGUGACCUUAUUUUGCAUGUUUAAUAACUCUAAAAUUGUGUUUAGGGCAGAACAGUCCCAAACCUAAAAUAUGCACAUGAGGAUUUUUCAGACUUGUUGCUUGUUGUUCCAGCCUCAUUUAAAAUUAUCUAGAUAGGUAGUUUUACUUUGCUUCACCCCUUGCCAUGCUAAAAAACAUUUAAUAUUGUUGAGUACAUAAACCAGAGAGAACUAAAUAAGUCAUGUGGUGUUCCGUCAAUAUGCAACUCAUUGCAUAUUGAGCUCCACUUAAUUUGUAGUUUUGCUUGUUGCACUUUGCCAUGCCAUGCAUAUUUAAACCGGACAUGCAUCAUACUUGGUUGUGCAUUAUGCCAUGUUAUGUGAUGGUUGUUUACUAUGUUGUUUGCUUCUUACCGGUGUUGCUUCUUCGGGUUGGUUCCGGUAACAUCGCGUUUGUGAGGAUUCCUUCGACUUCGUCCGUUUGUCUUCUUCAUGGACUCGUUCUCCUUCCUUGCGGGAUCUCAGGCAAGAUGACCUUACCCUUGAAAUCACUUCUAUCUUUGCUUGCUAGUUGCUCGAUGUAUAGCUAUGCCGCGAUACCUACCACUUGCUAUAUCAUGCCUCCCAUUGCCAUGUCAAGCCGCUAACCCUCCUUUCCUAGCAAACCGUUGUUUGGCUAUGUUACCGCUUUGCUCAGCCCCUCUUAUAGCGUUGUUAGUUACAGGUGAAGAUGUAGUUUGUUCCAUGUUGGAACAUGGAUAUGUUGGAAUAUCACAAUAUCUCUUAUAUUAAUUAAUGCAUCUAUAUACUUGAUAAAGGGUGCGACUCCUAUCGGGAUUGUCGGCACAUUGGGUGGCUUUGCUGGUCUUGUAUUACCAUUGUCGAAAUGUCUGGUAACCGGGAUUCCGAGUAUGAUCGGGUCGUCCUGGGAGAAGGAAUAUCCUUCGUUGACCGUGAGAGCUUGUGAUGGGCUAAGUUGGGACACCCCUGCAGGGUUUUCAAUUUUCGAAAGUCGUACCCGCGGUUAUGGGCAGAUGGGAAUUUGUUAAUGUCCGGUUGUAGAGAACUUGGCACUUAACUUAAUUAAAAUGCAUCGACCGCGUGUGUAGCCAUGAUGGUCUCUUUCCGGCGGAGUCCGGAAAGUGAACACGGUUCUUGUGUUAUGCUUGAACUUAAGUAGUUUCAGGAUCACUUCUUGAUCACUUUCUAGUUCAUGACCGUGCUUUGCUUCUCUUCUCGCUCUCAUUUGCGUAAGUUAGCCACCAUAUAUGCUAGUGCUUGCUGCAGCUCCAGCUCACUACCCCUUUCUUACCCAUAAGCUUAAAUAGUCUUGAUCUCACGGGUGUGAGAUUGCUGAGUCCUCGUGGCUCACAGAUACUUCCAAACAAUUGCAGGUGCCGAUGAUACCAGUGCAAAUGAUACAACCUAGCUCAAGUGGGAGCUCGAUGAAGAUCGUGUUCGUUGUGUUGUUUCGUUUCCAGUUGAUCAGAAGUGGAGCCCAGUCAGGGCGAUCGUGGAUCUAGCAUUAGGGGUGGUCUUCUUUUAUUGUGGUUCCGUAGUCGGACCUUGAUUGUAUUCUGGAUGAUGUAAUGCUAUAUUUAUGUAUUGUGUGAAGUGGCGAUUGUAGGCCAACUCUUUAUUCCUUCUUAUUCAGUACAAAGGAUGUGUAAGGAUUACCCCUCUUGUGACAUGCCAACUAUGCGGUUAUGCCUCUAAGUCAUGCUCCGAUACGUGGGAGAUAUAGCCGCAUCGUGGGUGUUACAAGUUGGUAAUCAGAGCCUUCCCCGACUUAGGAGCCCCCUGCUUGAUCGAAUCGCUGGCGUUGUUGUGUUCGGAAAAAUGUUUUGAGUCUUAGGAUUAUAUAUGUCGGAGAGUAGGAUUCUUUUUACUCCUCAGUCCCUUCGUCGCACUGGUGAGGCCUCCUGACGUAGAGUUUUGACUCUACUCUCC
rnacentral:lncRNA from 1 species